rnacentral:rRNA from 1 species
GAUAAACGCUGGCGGCGCACAUAAGACAUGCAAGUCGAACGAACUUAACCAUUUAGUUUACUAUUGGAGCGGUUAGUGGCGGACUGGUGAGUAACACGUAAGCAACCUGCCUAUCAGAGGGGAACAACAGUUAGAAAUGACUGCUAAUACCGCAUAUGCCUUAGAAUCACAUGGUUCAAAAGGGAAAGGAGCAAUCCGCUGAUAGAUGGGCUUGCGUCUGAUUAGCUAGUUGGUGGGGUAACGGCCUACCAAGGCGACGAUCAGUAGCCGAACUGAGAGGUUGAACGGCCACAUUGGGACUGAGAUACGGCCCAGACUCCUACGGGAGGCAGCAGUCGGGAAUAUUGCGCAAUGGAGGAAACUCUGACGCAGUGACGCCGCGUGCAGGAAGAAGGUUUUCGGAUUGUAAACUGCUUUAGACAGGGAAGAACAAAGACAGUACCUGUAGAAUAAGCUCCGGC